UGAGGAAUAUUGGUCAAUGGGCGAGAGCCUGAACCAGCCAAGUAGCGUGCAGGAUGACGGCCCUAUGGGUUGUAAACUGCUUUUAUAUGGGAAUAAAGUGAGGGACGUGUCCCUUAUUGCAUGUACCAUACGAAUAAGGACCGGCUAAUUCCGUGCCAGCAGCCGCGGUAAUACGGAAGGUCCAGGCGUUAUCCGGAUUUAUUGGGUUUAAAGGGAGCGUAGGCUAUUUGUUAAGCGUGUUGUGAAAUGUAAGAGCUCAACUUUUAGAUUGCAGCGCGAACUGGCAGACUUGAGUGCGCACAACGUAGGCGGAAUUCAUGGUGUAGCGGUGAAAUGCUUAGAUAUCAUGACGAACUCCGAUUGCGAAGGCAGCUUACGGGAGCGCAACUGACGCUAAAGCUCGAAGGUGCGGGUAUCGAACAGG
rnacentral:rRNA from 1 species